GCGCCACCUUUGAGCCCCCGCCUCCUGCCGGGGGUCAGGCUGCGGCGCCAGGGCAGCCGCUCGUGGUAACUGGGGCUCCGCGCUGCCGGCCACCCUUUUUAGCCACGAGCCACAUGG
ensembl:snoRNA